CUUUGUCUUCACGAGGCUGAACGCGAUAUUGAAAGCGAUCGCAUCGUGAGAGGCUAAGG
rfam:Pristionchus pacificus strain PS312 contig6669, whole genome shotgun sequence.